GGUCAGGACGAACGCUGGCGGCGUGCCUAACACAUGCAAGUCGAACGAAGCAUUUGGAGCCGAUCUCUUCGGAGUGACGCACCUUAUGACUUAGUGGCGGACGGGUGAGUAACACGUGAGCAACCUGCCUCUCAGAGUGGAAUAACAGUUGGAAACGGCUGCUAAUACCACAUAACGUUUUUGUGCCGCAUGACACUUCAACCAAAGAUUUAUCGCUGAGAGAUGGGCUCGCGUCCGAUUAGGUAGAUGGUGGGGUAACGGCCUACCAUGCCGACGAUCGGUAGCCGGACUGAGAGGUUGAUCGGCCACAUUGGGACUGAGACACGGCCCAGACUCCUACGGGAGGCAGCAGUGGGGGAUAUUGCACAAUGGGCGCAAGCCCUGAUGCAGCAACGCCGCGUGGCGGGAAGACGGCCGUUCGGGUUAGUAAACCGCUGUCCUUGGGGAAGAAACAAAUGACGGUACCCAAGAAGGAAGCCACGGCUAACUACGUGCCAGCCGCUGC
rnacentral:rRNA from 1 species